UCCCAGAGUCCACACAGCAGUCUUCACCGUCCCUCUGCCCCACUCCUCCCUCCAGGGCCUCACCAACGUCCUCCUCCGACUUGUGCCUCUUCCUGCAUUUCCCUUUCUCUCUGCGGCUGGCGGGAAUGUGAGGGAAAAUGUUUGUGUGUCCUUCCAACAACGAUUUAAACAUCGCAGAGAUCAAAUCCUUCAGAACCUAACUCCAGCCCUACCUUUUCCACAUCUGCUGUCCCCAUGUAAGCCCUGCUGUGGGAAUCUCAGUUCUAGAGAAGUGUCCAGAACGGGAGAGAAGAGAACCUCACUGUGCUGAUUUUCUGAGAAGGUUUCAGUCUAUGGCCAGUUGACCCUGUCACAUGGCAGAGCUUCAUGGAGCCCCCUGUAGUGGAUGAAGCAAGCUGGUCACCUCAGGCUUGGAAGCAAAGGAAAAGACAGAAAGAGGAACCUUGAACGGAUUUGUGUGCAUCUGAAAGACACAUCAGACUUGACAACCAAA